CAAGUAUACGUCGAUAUCAUUCCCCGGUUGUUUGGGUCCAGAAAUUAACAGAGACAACAUCAUAAACUUACGCUUCAUACAUAACCAUGGAGGUAAGUUAUAUAUUACCAAAAUCACAGGCCACGUGCUAUGUGAGAUGCUUUGAAGACCAUGUGGAUUCAUUCCAUCAGUAGAAAGUGCAAGUCUUAGAUUUCUUGACUCUAUCCCGAAUUCAGGAUACUCGUGAUCAAUUUUUGCCCAUUGUGGGGAAUCUGCAGGGUGUCGAAACAUUCCAUCUCUAAUUCUUUCAUCUGCAUGCCAUGUCAAGUGUUUUGAAUCUUCUUCACUGCGAUACAUGCGCCUAAAUCUUGGUAUUAUAGGAAAAUACCACACAACUUUUGCUGGAGUAGAUUCUUUCUUCUUAUAUCGAGAGACAUUGCAUUUCGGACACGCCUUAAGUAGUUCAUAUUCGUUUCGAAAUAAAAUGCAAUCGUUAGGACACGCAUGAAUCCUUUCGUAACUCAUUCCAAUAGAACACAAAAUCCGUUUAGCCUCGUAGGUUCGACUGGGAAGUUCAUUAUCAUCUGGCAACAUAUCUUUUAUGAGUGUUAAUAAUUCCGUAAAGCUUUUAUCAGACCAUCCAUUACUCGCUUUUAAGUUGUACAACUUUAAUAUCGCUGACAGUCUUGUGAAUUUAGUACAACCAUUAUAUAAUUCUUUCUCUGCAUCACUCAACAAACUUUGGGUCCAGAAAUUAACAGAGACAACGUCAUAAACUUACGCUUCAUACAUAACCAUGGAGGUAGGUUAUAAAUCAACAAAAUCACAAGCCACGUGCUGUGUGAGAUGCUUUGAAGAUCAUAUGGAUUCAUUCCACCAGUAGAAAGUGCAAGUCUUAGGUUUCUUGGCUCUAUCCCGAAUUCAGGAUACUCGUGAUCAAUUUUUGCCCAUUGUGGGGAAUCUGCAGGGUGUCGAAACUUUCCAUCACUAAUUAUUUCAUCUGGAUGCCAUGCCAAGUGUUUGAAUCUUCUUCACUGCGAUACAUGCGCCUAAAUCUUGGUAUUAUAGGAAAAUACCACACGACUUUUGCUGGAGUAGAUUCUUUCUUCUUAUAUCGAGAGACAUUGCAUUUCGGACACACCUUAAGUAAUUCAUAUUCGUUUCGAAAUAAA
rnacentral:lncRNA from 1 species